UACGUAGGUGACCAGCGUUGUCCGGAUUUACUGGGCGUAAAGAGCGCGCAGGCGGUCGUUCAAGUCGAGUGUGAAAGCCCCCGGCUCAACUGGGGAGGGUCACUCGAUACUGAUCGACUUGAAGGCAGGAGAGGGAAGCGGAAUUCCCGGUGUAGUGGUGAAAUGCGUAGAUAUCGGGAGGAACACCAGUGGCGAAGGCGGCUUCCUGGCCUGUUCUUGACGCUGAGGCGCGAAAGCCAGGGGAGCAAACGGG
rnacentral:rRNA from 1 species